UGGACUUUCUUGGGAAAACCUUUGCGUCACGGCCCGGACGCACGUCGGUGUAAGCAUCCGGAGGAGCGGGUGUAGCCUGUCAGUCCGUCUCCUUCUCCCGUCUCCUGAGCACUGCUCUAGUUCUGUCCUCGACCGUCGACUGUGGCAUACAGUGAUCCGUGCAGUCACUCGCAGUGAUUCACAGUGAUCCACAAUAGCCCUCCCCUGGUGGCCUGCUGUCACUUACAGUGACGUAUAGUGACUGAGAGAACCUUCAGAGAUCAGCUGGGGAAUCGCAAGAUAAAAAAAUUGAAAAGGGACAGUGACACCAACAGUGACACCUGGGUGACGCAAGUGACACCGACAGUGACGUCUGGGUGACACAAGUGACACCGACAGUGACGUCUGGGUGACACAAGUGACACCAACAGUGACACCUGUGUGACGCAAGUGACACCGACAGUGACGUCUGGGUGACACAAGUGACACCAACAGUGACACCUGGGUGACGCAAGUGACACCGACAGUGACGUCUGGGUAACACAGGUGACACCGAGGAAGACAAGAGUGAAGGUGCCACAGGAAGUAUGAAGGUGACCCGACCUUUGACCUUCCUCACUCUACUGGUCAUUCCUCGCCACACGUCUGCACAAGGUACGCAUGAGGUCGAGACCCACAGCGGAUGUUACCUGCCCCUGGAGCUCUUCGAGAGCCGCGAGGUCACACUGAGGCCCAGCGUGACCUCUGUCACCAUGGCAGAGGUCACGCUGACCGCUCAGGUCAACCUCACUAACAGCGCCCUCGCCCUCGCAAUGAAGGGAGCAGCUGCCAGGAGGACUCUACACAAUCCAGGGAGUUUGCUUCAAUCAGACACACAGGGGACAAGGGACUCACGAAGUCCCUAGUGGUCCUGGUGACCCUGCUGGUGGUCUCCGGGGUCAUCAACCUCGGCCUCCUUACAUACGUCUUCGUCCUCCGGGUGGAGAAGGCUCGUCUUAAGAAGAAGACAGAACUAUUCCAUGGUAUCCACUCUGAGGCACACGCACGCCCUCAACCCAUGGCACCAGGCAGCCCUCAACCAAUGGCACCAGGCACCCCUCAACCCAUGGCACACAGGGAAAUGGCAUCAUUCGACAACACAGUCUACUAUGAUAAGUCACGUGAGAGCGACAUGUAUGACAACACCAGGGUUGAUUCUGUUCUCUAUGACGAUAUCACCACUCUCAAGAUGGUGUAGUGGAUAUCAUGAUGAGUUGAAAUGCGAUCCCUUAGUGUGUUGGUUGAGACGAGUCCUCAUCUCUAAGUUGCAGAAUGAUCCCGCAAUGUACGGUCUCUUCGAUUUCAUAAAACUUACACAGAGGGUUGGGGUUACAGGCUAUCUUUCUUAAAGCAUAUAAUUUAGGCUCACCCCGACUUGCCUAUGUCCGUCCUAUACCACAGACCAUUCCCCCUACAAGCCUCCAAAUUCAGACAAACAAAACGUUCUCUUUUAAAGGUAAAGAGGUGAAACCUAGUGAGGCUCGUGGGAAUAUUUCUAUCAAAUAUUG